GACGAACGCUGGCGGCGUGCUUAACACAUGCAAGUCGAACGGAGUGGCGAACGGGUGAGUAACACGUGGGUGAUCUGCCUUGCACUUCGGGAUAAGCUUGGGAAACUGGGUCUAAUACCUGAUAGUGCAAGAUGAGCUCGCUGGCUAUCCGCUUGUUGGUGGGGUAAUGGCCUACCAAGGCGUGGACGGGUAGCCGGCCUGAGAGGGUGUACGGCCGCAUUGGGACUGAGAUACGGUGCAGUAUCGUACGGGAGGCAGCGGUGGGAAGUAUUGCACAGUGAGGGGAAGCCUGAUGCGACGGCGCCGCGUGGGGAAUGAUGGCCUUCGGGUUGUAAACUCCUUUCGACAGGGACGCGGUACCUGUAUAAGAAGCACCGGCUAACUACGUGCCAGCAGCCGCGGUAAUAC
rnacentral:rRNA from 1 species